rnacentral:sRNA from 12 species
UGUCUAAACCAAUGAAAAUUGGCAUGGCAUAAAACCAGUCUAAGGAAACGGAAGCUCUCCGUUCAAUGGAACCUUAGACUGGUUGUGAACCGAAAGGUUCAUAGCUAUUUCCGCAAGGGAAUGGC